UGCCAGCAGCCGCGGUAAGACGAACCGGUCGAACGUUAUUCGGAAUCACUGGGCUUAAAGAGUGCGUAGGCGGUCUUGCAGGUGAGGUGUGAAAUCCCCCGGCCCAACCGGGGAACUGCGCUUCAAACCGCAAGGCUUGAGGGAGAUAGAGGUGAGCGGAACUGAUGGUGGAGCGGUGAAAUGCGUUGAUAUCAUCAGGAACACCUGUGGCGAAAGCGGCUCACUGGGUCUCUUCUGACGCUGAGGCACGAAAGCUAGGGUAGCGAACAGGAUUAGAUA
rnacentral:rRNA from 1 species